UUAUUUCUUCUUCCUCUGCUUUGCUUUAGCUGCUGCUUCUUCUUCUCCCCCCUUUUGGUUCCCCCUCUCUUGCUUUAUUUCUUCUGAUGUUUUCUCUCUCUCUCUCUCUCUCUCUCUCUCUCUUGCUCUCUUCAAAAUCCCACAACAGUGUUUGGAGUUGGAGGCUUUUGCUCUGUUGGGUUUUUUUUUUUUUUUUUUUUUCCAAUAACUCAAAGGGCCGAAAGGUAUUCCCAUUUCAUAUUCUUCUCUCCCAAUUUCUUUAGGGUUAAUUUCAAUUUUCUUAUGCUGUUUGCAGCGGUGCUUUUUAGGGUUUAACUAUUUGAUUUCACAGAUUCAUUACAGACACAGUAAAUAAGUACAUUUUAAAUUCGUAUUUCAUAACUUGGUUGCUUAAUUCUACUGCCACUGUUCAUCGGCCUCUCCUACGAAACAGCAAGGGUAUAUCACUAUGGAAGAACUAGAGCAAGUCCUCCAUGAAUACGGCUUGCAUGGUGAAUUUUAAUCUUUCCAGGUACAACCAUAUUUCACUCCCUCUGAUCUUUGAGAGGAUAAACACUGUUUGACUGAUCGCACAAGAUUGGUUCCUGUGACCACUGCUCAGCUUCAUGUACAAAUAUGACUAGCGGGUCAAGUUCCAUAAGGAGGUGGAAGCAGAAGAAGAAUUGGCGUCACCCUUUAGUUUUGCAACCAAAAGGAGGUACUAUGCAUUGGGACCCAACAAUCCACCAUAUGCUGCCAAGUUCUACGACUUUUGUGGGGCUUGAUGGCACUUUACCUCCAAACCUAGGUCAAAAUGCUAAUCAUAUUCUGAAAAAUGUUGGGUUUCCUGAUGAGUACUCUGGCUGAAUUCAAGAGGCUAAUUUAGUGAUUUGCAGUUAAUUUUGUAAAUUUAUUGAAUGAAGUCAUUUGUUAUUUAGCUUAUCUUGUGUUUAGUUUGGUUUUAGGAGAGGGUUGCGCAUGAUCUAUAGAAUCACAAUUAAGGGUCAGUUUUUCCAACAAUUUUUCUUUUUCUUUUUGCUUCAUGUUUGUGCAUGUUUGGUCUCUGAGAUUUUGUUUUUAGUCACUGUUGAUUUGUAGUUUAUGUCUCCCUUUGGCUACAUAUUGACACAAGUUUAUUCUCGGCA